rnacentral:rRNA from 1 species
GAGUUUGAUCGUGGCUCAGGAUGAACGCUGGCGGCGUGCUUAACACAUGCAAGUCGAACGGGGGCAGGAGGAAACCUAGUGAAUCCUGCCCUAGUGGCGGACGGGUGAGUAACGCGUGGGCAACCUGCCGCAUACCGGGGGGAUAACACUUAGAAAUAGGUGCUAAUACCGCAUAAGCGCACAGAGCCGCAUGGCUUGGUGUGAAAAACUCCGGUGGUAUGCGAUGGGCCCGCGUCUGAUUAGCUUGUUGGCGGGGCGACGC